rnacentral:rRNA from 1 species
UACCAGCUCUCCGAGUGGUGGGGAUGCUUAUUGGGCCUAAAGCAUUCGUAGCCGGUUGGGCAAGUCCUCCGUUAAAUCCAGCGAUUCAAUCGUUGGACUGCAGGGGAUACUGUCCGGCUAGGGGGCGGAAGAGGCCGACGGUAUUCUCGGGGUAGGGGUGAAAUCCUAUAAUCCCGGGAGGACCACCAGUGGCGAAGGCUGUCGGCUAGAACGCGCCCGACGGUGAGGGAUGAAAGCUGGGGGAGCGAACCGGAUUAGAUACCCGGGUAGUCCCAGCUGUAAACGAUGCAGGCUAGGUGUUGGCGCGGCUACGUGCCGCUCCAGUGCCGCAAGGAAGCCGUUAAGCCUGCCGCCUGGGAAGUACGGCCGCAAGGCUGAAACUUAAGGAAUUGGCGGGGAGCACCACAAGGGGUGAAGCUUGCGGUUU